rnacentral:rRNA from 1 species
GACGAACGCUGGCGGCGUGCUUAACACAUGCAAGUCGAACGGUGAACCAGAGCUUGCUCUGGGGAUCAGUGGCGAACGGGUGAGUAACACGUGGGCAACCUGCCCAGACUCUGGGAUAACCUCGGGAAACCGAUGCUAAUACCGGAUACGACCACUUCGGACAUCCGACGGUGGUGGAAAGUUUUCGGUCUGGGAUGGGCCCGCGGCCUAUCAGCUAGUUGGUGGGGUAAUGGCCUACCAAGGCGACGACGGGUAGCCGGCCUGAGAGGGCGACCGGCCACACUGGAACUGAGACACGGUCCAGACUCCUACGGGAGGCAGCAGUGGGGAAUAUUGCACAAUGGGCGAAAGCCUGAUGCAGCGACGCCGCGUGAGGGACGACGGCC